CUUUCAUACAUAAUAGAUAUUAAAGUCUCAUCCAUAGAUGGUGAGAAGAUGAGGUCAUCGAGCAUACUUCUUAUUUUGUUCAUCCUCCCAAGUAUAUGUCAGGGAGUGGUCGUCACACAGACUCCGAAGUUGCAAUUAGUGAAAGUGGGAGAGCCAACAAAAAUUGAAUGUCACCAGAAUGAUGCAACCUAUUUCAACAUGUACUGGUACCAACAGAAACCAGGAGAAGGACUAAAGCUUAUGAUUUUGUCCACUGAAGAAGGUGAAAACCAGAAUAUGGAAUCAGACUUUAAAUCAGACUGGGAGCUUGAGAGAAAAGACAUUCAAAAUUCGGUUCUACGGUUUAAAUCAGCCAAAACAGAGGACUCGGCUGUGUAUUUCUGUGCAUCGAGUAUACACAACAACAAAACCCAGGGAAGUAGCUGGCAUAAACUCCAACCACACAGAAAGCACACAAUGCAACUGCUCUCUUGCUCUGCAGGGGGUUCUCUAGAUACAUUGCUGCUUCACAGUAUAGACUAG